GACGAACGCUGGCGGCGUGCUUAACACAUGCAAGUCGAACGGAAAGGCCCUGCUUUUGUGGGGUGCUCGAGUGGCGAACGGGUGAGUAACACGUGAGUAACCUGCCCUUGACUUUGGGAUAACUUCAGGAAACUGGGGCUAAUACCGGAUAGGAGCUCCUGCUGCAUGGUGGGGGUUGGAAAGUUUCGGCGGUUGGGGAUGGACUCGCGGCUUAUCAGCUUGUUGGUGGGGUAGUGGCUUACCAAGGCUUUGACGGGUAGCCGGCCUGAGAGGGUGACCGGCCACAUUGGGCCUGCGAUACGGCCCAGACUCCUACGGGAGGCAGCAGUGGGGAAUAUUGCACAAUGGGCGGAAGCCUGAUGCAGCAACGCCGCGUGCGGGAUGACGGCCUUCGGGUUGUAACCCGCUUUCGCCUGUGACGAGGCGUGAGUGACGGUAAUGGGUAAAGAAGCACCGGCUAACUACGUG
rnacentral:rRNA from 1 species